rnacentral:rRNA from 1 species
UUGGAGGGCAAGUCUGGUGCCAGCAGCCGCGGUAAUUCCAGCUCCAAUAGCGUAUAUUAAAGUUGUUGCAGUUAAAAAGCUCGUGGUUGAAUUUCGAGACCGGCUUACUGGUCGUGCUUUUGUGCGUACUGGUAUAAUCGGUUUCUCCUUUCUGACGAACUUUAAUGCCAUUAAUUUGGUGUUUUAGGGAAUCAGGACUGUUACUUUGAAAAAAUUAGAGUGUUUAAAGCAGGCUCACGCUUGAAUACAUUAGCAUGGAAUAACGGAAUAGGACGUUUGAUUCUAUUUUGUUGGUUUCUAGGAUCGACGUAAUGAUUAAUAGGGAUAGUUGGGGGCAUUAGUAUUCAAUUGUCAGAGGUGAAAUUCUUGGAUUUAUUGAAGACUAACUACUGCGAAAGCAUUUGCCAAGGAUGUUUUCAUUAAUCAAGAACGAAAGUUAGGGGAUCGAAGACGAUCAGAUACCGUCGUAGUCUUAACCAUAAACUAUGCCGACUAGGGAUCGGAUGAUGUUAAUUUUUUAAUGACUCAUUCGGCGCCUUACGGGAAA